rnacentral:rRNA from 1 species
UACGUAGGGGGGCGAGCGUUGUCCGGAUUUAUUGGGCGUAAAGAGCUCGUAGGCGGUUCGGUUAGUCAGAUGUAAAAACUCCAGGCUCAACUUGGAGAGGCCAUCUGAUACUGCCGUGACUAGAGUCCGGUAGAGGAGCACGGAAUUCCUGGUGUAGCGGUGAAAUGCGCAGAUAUCAGGAGGAACACCAGCGGCGAAGGCGGUGCUCUGGGCCGGAACUGACGCUGAGGAGCGAAAAGCGUGGGGGAGCGAACAGG